GUGUCUGACUCUUUGCGACCCCAUGGACUGCAGCAUGCCAGACCUCCCUGCCCAUUGCCAACUCCUGGGGCUGGCUGAAACUCAUUUGAAGCUGAGAAGACUGGAAGACAAUUGGCGUUUUCAGUAUAGGGUGACAAAUAAAUCAGCAAAAAGCAAUAUAAUGAGGGAAGAGAACAGAGGCAUAAGAACGCAUGGUGGGCUUGUUGUGGCAAAGUUAAGAUUCAUGCCGAGGCGGGUGCAGCAGUGGAGCAGUGAAGAAAGGGAAGCGGCCCCGACUCAGGCUCGGAGCUGUAUCGGGAGAACGUGCCAGAAUGCGAGACUUCCGCCGCAGCGCGCUUGCCUCCUGGGGCGGAGACAGCUGGGUUUGCUGCAGAGACAGCAAGCUCCUUGUGUUUAACAGACGUGGCCGUUUCUGUAGGAAAUGGAAGAGACUCAGCAUUCCGCCUACUCUAUUUUUUAAGAAGUGACUCUGGUAAAAUAGACGGAGAAAGAAGCACAUAUUACUUUUAAUAUCCUCUGUUCCACAGGCUGUGAGGUCAAGAAGAUCCCGAAAAUCCCUCUAACACGUUUCUUUGCAGCCAUGCUUGGUUAUUGUGCCGAGUCUAUUUCCCUAAGGCAAAUGUGAAGGGUGCUGGGUCAGGGGCUAGGCUUAAGGACCAACUUCUUGCUGCAUCUCUAGCCAGGUGACCUCUGGCUCCUUCAGUGAUGGUUUGGUAAAGUUAUGGCUGAAAUAAUGUAAAGAGAAAUGGAGAUGAGACAGAGAGGAGAGAGCAGAGACCUCAGGUACAGGGCUCAGAUACACAGAGGGGUUUGUGUGUCUCUGAGGCAACCACACAGACCUGUGAGUGCAGGGUGUAGGGGAGGGGGGCAGAUCCGCUCCAGAGCUCCUCCCGGCCGAGAUCCUCCCACCGUAGUGCUCCACCAUCUCCUGCGGUGCUGUCCUCCUCCAGAGGCUGAAGUCAGCCUCACAUCCGCCUUGCAGCCCGCAGAAAGAGACAGGGAGUAAGAAGGAAAGGGACCUUAAUUAUGGAGUCUGGAGGUUGUACAGCUCAGUUCCACUCACUGCCUGGUGGUCAGAGCUUACUCAGAUGGAAAUGUAGUCUCUAGCUUGAGUGCCAUAUACCUUGCUAAGCUUUGAGAGAUUUUAUUAAAACUAAGGGAGGGUGGGAGGAAGGAGAGUGUGGGAUGUAUGGAGAGUAACAUGGAAACAUACAUGACCAUGUGUAAAAUACAUAGCCAGCGGGAAUUUGCUGUAUGACUCAGGGAACUCAAACCCGGGGCUGUGUAUCAACUUAGAGGGUGGGAUGG
rnacentral:lncRNA from 1 species